rnacentral:lncRNA from 10 species
UUCCUAUCCACAUUCUGAUUUCUCUUUUUGUCAUUUCAGCCUGGUUAAGAACCAUUGCUGGGGAACUACUGCAGUUGUUUGGAGAAAUAAAGCAGUGAAGUGACUAAAACAGCAGAAAACAAAAUCUUCUUGAGUAAAGUACUCUUGGCAGUAGACUUUAUGAUGUGGUACAACAUCAGGAAAAAAUAAACCCAGCAGACAGAUGGUCUCCAGAGAGAAAUAACCAUAAACUCUGAAACUACUACACAUGAAAGUACCUGCCCAAGGAAUAGAGAAGACAGAUGUUUCUCUAGGGAUUGACCUACAAUGGCACUUGUUGCUCUUGGUGACCAGAGCUAAAAGAAAGCUGAAAGCCAGCAUCAGUGUGUGAAGUCACUGAAGUAUUUUAUAGAUCAGAAAAGUUGGCAAGCGAUGGACACUAGACAACACAAACUUCCUCUCUCCAAAAAUAUAUUCACAGUCAGCUUUAAAGCUGUAGUCACUCCUCUGGGGUCUGAAUAAACAUGGCCAUUCUUGAUAGACAUGUUGACUGAUGGACUGAGAGAUAUAGAUACAUGCCAUGAGAUCUCUUUAUGAGCAGUGGUCUUAUGGAUAUCUGCAUGACCUCUGCUGAAGUAAAAUACUGUGGUUCGUGAGAAGACGUGACCUUUGGAUACAGCUGGUCUAGUCCUGGCUCUGCUGUGUCAGUGAAAGUGGAACAGUUACAUGGCUCUCCCGAAUCUCUGUUUUCACUUGGUUAAAUGAGGGUUACAUGUACUUACUUCCAGUGUUGUUAUGAGAAUUAAAUGAGAUUAAAUGUUAAAAUUUGUGAGCGGUCAAUAUAUGUACUUCUUUUCUCCCCCUCAGUCUCUUAAGAAUAUUCUACACCAGUAUUGCAGAAUAAAGAAAAAUGGAUAUGUUAAUUUGUUUGAUAUAAUCAUUCCACAAUGUAUACAUAUAUCAGGUGGGGAGCAGUGGCUCAUGCCUGUAAUCCCAGCACUUUGGGAGGCCGAGGCAGGCAGAUCACUUGAGGCCAGAAGUUCGAGACCAGCCUGUCAACAUGGCAAAAACCUGUCUCUACUAAAAAAUUUAAAAAUU